GYGUGCGGCGGUGGUGAAGAAGCUUUGUCCCUCGUUCGACGAUGAGGAGGGGUUCGAAAACAAAGUUCGUGCUUGUCCUAGGCGUGCAUAGAUAAGGGGUUGGUGCUAUGUGUUAGGUCCUUCCCAACCCCCGUUGCACGUCGAAAGCGAGUUCGUGCGGCGUCGACGAAUCUUCUCGGUAGCCGUUGAACUGUUCGGUUGUCCCUGCUGCCUUUGUACGUGUUUUCAUGCCUAGCGAUGCGGCUUGGCUCCUACCCGGCGUAUUCGCGCUCAAGACGCAUCCCUUUACUGGGGAAGUCGAGACGUGCGUUUCGUUGGGCGGUGCUGGGUUUAGCUAACGCGACGGCGUAUGAGUGGUGAUUGGGCUGUAUCCGACGGCAGGCUCCGUGCUUUGGCAUCGAACUGUCGGCUCGUACCCCGCUACAUCGACGCAUCAAGAUUCGUCUUGUGCGCAUGAUGGGUUUCUGUUUCGGCUACCUAUCGCGAAGGAACGUUGCCUCUCGUAGUCCCUUUCCUCCUCUCGCCGGCCUUGCUGGCGGGAGGGCGGCAUCGUAGCGGUGCUCGUGUCCCGGACGAGCCACACGCGUUGUGAUGCGGUUUCGGUCCUCGAGUUUCCGCUCGACGUCUCGGAUGCGGAACGCCACAGGGGGCGGUGGGUCUUUACGACCUCCGAUCGUCCGUCGGAGCCUUGUCGCUGGAUGCGUACGACUGUCGUGCCCGUUGCGGGCCGUCGACCGUCAAGGUCGUCGGCACAGCGCGGCGCCGACGUCGAAGAGGAAUGC
rnacentral:misc_RNA from 1 species